UAACGUUAUCAGCGGAUGAACUACAUUUCCCAUAAUGCAUGUUUGCCCGGGACAUUGACAAUGGAGGAAGGUCCAUGAGUCGCAACUCUCUGGCGGAGGCCGAAAGCAUAACGUUAUCCCUGCUUCCCGGUUUCUGCCGGUUGUUGUUUUCGCUGUUCGCCGGUAAUGCACGUGCGUACUGCUCAAGUGUGUGGUUGUGAGAUCAUCUCGAAAUCCUUUUAACAGUUCAGAUAUCGGACUACAAAGAGUGCUACAGAGAGUCAGUGUUUCACCAUCAGACAGGUGCCAAAAGGCUGAAGUUGGCCCGAUGGAGUGGAAGUGCAAGUUGUGUUCUGCAACUUCAAAUACCCGGGGACAAUUAUUUUGGCAC